AACGAACGCUGGCGGCAGGCCUAACACAUGCAAGUCGAACGCCGUAGCAAUACGGAGUGGCAGACGGGUGAGUAACGCGUGGGAACAUGCCCUUCGGUUCGGAAUAACUCAGGGAAACUUGAGCUAAUACCGAAUACGUCCAAGGAAACUUGGAGAAAGAUUUAUCGCCGGAGGAUUGGCCCGCGUCUGAUUUGCUUGUUGGUGGGGUAAUGGCUCACCAAGGCGACGAUCAGUAGCUGGUCUGAGAGGAUGAUCAGCCACAUUGGGACUGAGACACGGCCCAAACUCCUACGGGAGGCAGCAGUGGGGAAUAUUGGACAAUGGGCGCAAGCCUGAUCCAGCCAUGCCGCGUGAGUGAUGAAGGCCCUAGGGUUGUAAAGCUCUUUUGCCCGGGAAGAUAAUGACGGUACCGGGAGAAUAAGCCCCGGCUAACUUCGUGCCAGCCGCCGCGGUAAUAC
rnacentral:rRNA from 1 species